UGGGGAAGAUUUGCACAAUGGACGAAAGUCUGAUGCAGCAACGCCGCGUGGAGGAUGACACAUUUCGGUGCGUAAACUCCUUUUAUAUGAGAAGAUAAUGACGGUAUCAUAUGAAUAAGCACCGGCUAACUCCGUGCCAGCAGCCGCGGUAAUACGGAGGGUGCAAGCGUUAUUCGGAAUCACUGGGCGUAAAGGGUGCGUAGGCGGUUUGGAAAGUCAGAUGUGAAAGCCUACAGCUUAACUGUAGAACUGCAUUUGAAACUUCCAGACUAGAAUACUGAAGGGGCAGAUGGAAUUAGUGGUGUAGGGGUAAAAUCCGUAGAUAUCACUAGGAAUACCGAAAGCGAAAGCGAUCUGCUGGGAAGUUAUUGACGCUGAGGCACGAAAGCGUGGGGAGCAAACG
rnacentral:rRNA from 1 species